UCCAGACUCCUACGGGAGGCAGCAGUGAGGAAUAUUGGUCAAUGGGCGCGAGCCUGAACCAGCCAAGUCGCGUGAGGGAGGACGGCACUACGGGUUGUAAACAUCUUUUGCCGGGGAGCAACGGGCGCCACGUGUGGCGUCACUGAGAGUACCCGGAGAAAAAGCAUCGGCUAACUCCGUGCCAGCAGCCGCGGUAAUACGGAGGAUGCGAGCGUUAUCCGGAUUUAUUGGGUUUAAAGGGUGCGUAGGCGGACGCUUAAGUCAGCGGUAAAAUUGCGGGGCUCAACCUCGUCGAGCCGUUGAAACUGCAUCCCUUGAGUGCGCGAGAAGUAUGCGGAAUGCGUGGUGUAGCGGUGAAAUGCAUAGAUAUCACGCAGAACUCCGAUUGCGAAGGCAGCAUACCGGCGCGCAACUGACGCUCAUGCACGAAAGCGUGGGUAUCGAACAGGAUUAGAUACCCCGGUA
rnacentral:rRNA from 1 species